CGUCGGCGCCCAUGGGUACUCUCCCUUUUCGAAACGUUUUGAAAGACAAUGCAACCGUCCCAAUGGAAUAUUAUUGAAGCCCUGCUUGAAAAAGCCCCUAAAGAUUUAUGUUAUACAACGUUUGACAUGUUUGAACGAACUUAAAUAUAUUUUUUUUGCUCAGACGCAACCGGUACAUUUUCACUAGCCUUCGGAGCGCGCUAACACUAUUGGGACAUAAAUUAUUAACUUUUUUGAACAAAACUACAUUUGUUAUGGACCUGGGAUUCCUAGAAGUGCCUUCUGAUAAAGAUAAUCAAAGGAGUGUCAUCUGAUGAAGGUUGUCAAAAGGUGGGCUGUGGAACUGUAGAGCUGCACAUUAACAAACCUGUCACCCUGUCCAUUCCUCUGUCCCCAGGUGAGUCUGCUGAGCUAUUUAACUGUAGAGCUGCACAUUAACAAACCUGUCACCCUGUUGUCAGCAACCAGCAGACAGUUCCCUGAGGAAGGAUGCAAUGGUCAAGGCUGUCAAUGACCAGAUUAUGGGGAUGACUAAACGCAAUAAAGGAGUGUAAAAUGUUAUAAAACAAUAACUUUUUCAUUGCCUGUUGGUCUUCACAUUUUCACUAUGGUAACUUAAACAUGCAGACUUAAAUCAAAGACAACACAGAGGUUAUGAUUCAAAAGUUUUUUUUAAAUUAAAAAGUAUCAUGUCCAGGGUGAAUAAAUGUUUUAUUUAUGUAUAUCAGACAUC
rnacentral:lncRNA from 1 species